rnacentral:rRNA from 1 species
UACGUAGGGGGCUAGCGUUGUCCGGAAUCAUUGGGCGUAAAGCGCGUGUAGGCGGUUCGGUAAGUCCGCUGUGAAAGUCGGGGGCUCAACCCUCGGAUGCCGGUGGAUACUGUCGGACUAGAGUACGGAAGAGGCGAGUGGAAUUCCUGGUGUAGCGGUGAAAUGCGCAGAUAUCGGAAGGAACACCAGUGGCGAAAGCGGCUUCCUGGUCCAGCACCGACGUCAGGCACGAAAGCGUGGGGAGCAAACAGG